ACUGUAACUGACGCUGAGGCACGAAAGCGUGGGUAGCAAACAGGAUUAGAUACCCUGGUAGUCCACGCCGUAAACGAUGGAUACUAGGUGUAGGGGGUAUCAACUCCCUCUGUGCCGCAGUUAACACAAUAAGUAUCCCGCCUGGGGAGUACGGUCGCAAGAUUAAAACUCAAAGGAAUUGACGGGGGCCCGCACAAGCAGCGGAGCAUGUGGUUUAAUUCGAAGCAACGCGAAGAACCUUACCUGGACUUGACAUCCCUUGCAUAGCCUAGAGAUUGGUGAAGCCCUUCGGGGCAAGGAAACAGGUGGUGCAUGGUUGUCGUCAGCUCGUGUCGUGAGAUGUUAGGUUAAGUCCUGCAACGAGCGCAACCCUUGUUAUUAGUUGCUACCAUUAAGUUGAGCACUCUAAUGAGACUGCCUGGGUAACCAGGAGGAAGGUGGGGAUGACGUCAAAUCAUCAUGCCCCUUAUGUCCAGGGCUACACACGUGCCACAAUGGUAGGUACAAUAAGAGGCAAGACCGUGAGGUGGAGCAAAACUUAUAAAGCCUAUCUCAGUUCGGAUUGUAGGCUGCAACUCGCCUACGUGAAGCUGGAGUUGCUAGUAAUCGCGAAUCAGAAUGUCGCGGUGAAUACGUUCCCGGGCCUCGUACACACCGCCCGUCACACCAUGAGAGCUGGUAACACCCGAAGUCCGUGAGGCAACCGUAAGGAGCCAGCGGCCGAAGGUGGGAUUAGUGAUUGGGGUGAAGUCGUAACAAGGUAGCCGUAGGAGAACCUGCGGCUGGAUCACCUCCUU
rnacentral:rRNA from 1 species